AGGGCACCCCAAUAUCUGCAAGGCCUAGGGAAGUAUGAUUUUUAGAACACAAAACAAGGAAUUGUGUUCUGCAGCUUUUCAUAAGACCUUGAAUAAUGGAAAGAGAAAAGGGGAUAUGAGCAUAGAAAACAAAAGCAUGCUGGAACAAACUGCAGAAUGAGGAAGAGAGGGGGGAAGACAGAGAGACCAGAAACCUGCCUAUGCUAAAGGCUAAUUUCAGAAAUAUUAUCAGGGAUCCACAAUGCCAACACAUACAGAGUGACUAAAACAUUGUGGACCUGUAACCUAUCAUCAAAUUCUGGAAGGAUUUGAUUGAUACAAGAUGGAUGACUGUUGAUACUGUACAUCUGGCUGAAUGACUCUAAACCUUGAUAUAUUCAGGCAAGGAGACUGCAGCUCUGCCACCUGCCUCUGUCCCAAACCCCCUGCGGCAGCUCAGGCUUCCCGUCACUCAGGGACGACCGGCCAACCGUGAAUCGGGCACGACUGUAACUGCUCUCAGUACAACACCACGCCCCCUUCUUCUGGAAUGAAAUGCAUAUGCAAUGGAAUAUAUAUUUAAAAAACAAUUUA